UACGAAGGGGGCUAGCGUUGCUCGGAAUCACUGGGCGUAAAGGGUGCGUAGGCCGCACGGUAAGUCAGAGGUGAAAUCCCGGAGCUCAACUUCGGAAUUGCCUCCGAUACUGCCGUGCUUGAGGACUGGAGAGGAGACUGGAAUUUACGGUGUAGCGGUGAAAUGCGUAGAUAUCAGGAAGAACACCUAUGGCGAAAGCAGCUCUCUGGGACGGUACUGACGCUGAGACGCGAAAGCGUGGGGAGCGAACAGG
rnacentral:rRNA from 1 species